AUACAUGCAAGUCGAGCGGACAGAUGGGAGCUUGCUCCCUGAUGUUAGCGGCGGACGGGUGAGUAACACGUGGGUAACCUGCCUGUAAGACUGGGAUAACUCCGGGAAACCGGGGCUAAUACCGGAUGGUUGUUUGAACCGCAUGGUUCAAACAUAAAAGGUGGCUUCGGCUACCACUUACAGAUGGACCCGCGGCGCAUUAGCUAGUUGGUGAGGUAACGGCUCACCAAGGCAACGAUGCGUAGCCGACCUGAGAGGGUGAUCGGCCACACUGGGACUGAGACACGGCCCAGACUCCUACGGGAGGCAGCAGUAGGGAAUCUUCCGCAAUGGACGAAAGUCUGACGGAGCAACGCCGCGUGAGUGAUGAAGGUUUUCGGAUCGUAAAGCUCUGUUGUUAGGGAAGAACAAGUACCGUUCGAAUAGGGCGGUACCUUGACGGUACCUAACCAGAAAGCCACGGCUAACUACGUGCCAGCAGCCGCGGUAAUACGUAGGUGGCAAGCGUUGUCCGGAAUUAUUGGGCGUAAAGGGCUCGCAGGCGGUUUCUUAAGUCUGAUGUGAAAGCCCCCGGCUCAACCGGGGAGGGUCAUUGGAAACUGGGGAACUUGAGUGCAGAAGAGGAGAGUGGAAUUCCACGUGUAGCGGUGAAAUGCGUAGAGAUGUGGAGGAACACCAGUGGCGAAGGCGACUCUCUGGUCUGUAACUGACGCUGAGGAGCGAAAGCGUGGGGAGCGAACAGGAUUAGAUACCCUGGUAGUCCCA
rnacentral:rRNA from 1 species